AGAGUUUGAUCCUGGCUCAGAUUGAAUGCUGGCGGCAGGCCUAACACAUGCAAGUCGAACGGUAACAGGAAGCAGCUUGCUGCUUCGCUGACGAGUGGCGGACGGGUGAGUAAUGUCUGGGAAACUGCCCGAUGGAGGGGGAUAACUACUGGAAACGGUAGCUAAUACCGCAUAACGUCGCAAGACCAAAGAGGGGGACCUUAGGGCCUCUUGCCAUCGGAUGUGCCCAGAUGGGAUUAGCUAGUAGGUGGGGUAACGGCUCACCUAGGCGACGAUCCCUAGCUGGUCUGAGAGGAUGACCAGCCACACUGGAACUGAGACACGGUCCAGACUCCUACGGGAGGCAGCAGUGGGGAAUAUUGCACAAUGGGCGCAUGCCUGAUGCAGCCAUGCCGCGUGUAUGAAGAAGGCCUUCGGGUUGUAAAGUACUUUCAGCGGGGAGGAAGGGAGUAAAGUUAA
rnacentral:rRNA from 1 species